GACGAACGCUGGCGGCGUGCCUAACACAUGCAAGUCGAGCGAGUGGAUUUUCUUCGGGAUUGAAGCUAGCGGCGGACGGGUGAGUAACACGUGGGCAACCUGCCUCAUAGAGGGGAAUAGCCUCCCGAAAGGGAGAUUAAUACCGCAUAAGAUUGUAGCUUCGCAUGAAGUAGCAAUUAAAGGAGUAAUCCGCUAUGAGAUGGGCCCCGCGGCGCAUUAGCUAGUUGGUGAGGUAACGGCUCACCAAGGCGACGAUGCGUAGCCGACCUGAGAGGGUGAUCGGCCACAUUGGGACUGAGACACGGCCCAGACUCCUACGGGAGGCAGCAGUGGGGAAUAUUGCACAAUGGGGGAAACCCUGAUGCAGCAACGCCGCGUGAGUGAUGACGGCCUCGGUGUAAG
rnacentral:rRNA from 1 species